rnacentral:rRNA from 1 species
UACAGAGGUCUCAAGCGUUGUUCGGAUUCAUUGGGCGUAAAGGGUGCGUAGGCGGCGCGGUAAGUCGGGUGUGAAAUCUCGGAGCUUAACUCCGAAACUGCAUUCGAUACUGCCGUGCUUGAGGACUGGAGAGGAGACUGGAAUUUACGGUGUAGCGGUGAAAUGCGUAGAUAUCGUAAGGAAGACCAGUGGCGAAGGCGGUCUGCUGGGCAGUUUCUGACACUGAGGCGCGAAAGCGUGGGGAGCGAACAGG